GAUGAACGCUAGCUACAGGCUUAACACAUGCAAGUCGCGGGGCAGCAUGGGGGUUGCUUGCAACCCCUGAUGGCGACCGGCGCACGGGUGAGUAACGCGUAUCCAACCUGCCCUUCACCACGGGAUAACCCGGCGAAAGUCGGACUAAUACCGUAUGUUGUCCAUUGACGGCAUCCGAUUUGGACGAAAUGCUUGGCGGUGGAAGGAUGGGGAUGCGUCCUACUAGCUUGACGGCGGGUUAACGGCCCACCGUGGCUACGAUCGGUAGGGGUUCUGCGAGGAAGGGCCCCCACACUGGAACUGAGACACGGUCCAGACUCCUACGGGAGGCAGCAGUGAGGAAUAUUGGUCAAUGGGCGUAAGCCUGAACCAGCCAAGUAGCGUGCAGGAUGACGGCCCUAUGGGUUGUAAACUGCUUUUAUGCGGGGAUAAAGUGGCCCACGUGUGGGCUUUUGCAGGUACCGCAUGAAUAAGGACCGGCUAAUUCCGUG
rnacentral:rRNA from 1 species